rnacentral:rRNA from 1 species
UGGGCAACCUACCUGUGAGACGGGGAUAACUCCGGGAAACCGGGGCUAAUACCGGAUAACGCAUCGAACCGCAUGGUUCGAUGAUCAAAGAUGGCUUCUUGCUAUCACUCACAGAUGGGCCCGCGGCGCAUUAGUUAGUUGGUGAGGUAAAGGCUCACCAAGGCGACGAUGCGUAGCCGACCUGAGAGGGUGAUCGGCCACACUGGGACUGAGACACGGCCCAGACUCCUACGGGAGGCAGCAGUAGGGAAUCAUCCGCAAUGGACGCAAGUCUGACGGUGCAACGCCGCGUGAGCGAUGAAGGUCUUCGGAUCGUAAAGCUCUGUUGUGAGGGAAGAACAAGUGCCGUUCGAAUAGGGCGGCACCUUGACGGUACCUCACCAGAAAGCCCCGGCUAACUACGUGCCAGCAGCCGCGGUAAUACGUAGGGGGCAAGCGUUGUCCGGAAUUAUUGGGCGUAAAGCGCGCGCAGGCGGUUCCUUAAGUCUGAUGUGAAAGGCCACAGCUCAACUGUGGAGGGCCAUUGGAAACUGGGGAACUUGAGGACAGAAGAGGAGAGCGGAAUUCCACGUGUAGCGGUGAAAUGCGUAGAUAUGUGGAGGAACACCAGUGGCGAAGGCGGCUCUCUGGUCUGUAACUGACGCUGAGGCGCGAAAGCAUGGGUAGCGAACAGGAUUAGAUACCCUGGUAGUCCAUGCCGUAAACGUUGAGUGCUAGGUGUUAGGGGGUCCAACCCUUAGUGCUGCAGUUAACGCAAUAAGCACUCCGCCUGGGGAGUACGGCCGCAAGGCUGAAACUCAAAGGAAUUGACGGGGGCCUGCACAAGCGGUGGAGCAUGUGGUUUAAUUCGACGCAACGCGAAGAACCUUACCAGGUCUUGACAUCUUCGGACAGCCCAAGAGAUUGGGUCUUCCCUUCGGGGACCGAAUGACAGGUGGUGCAUGGUUGUCGUCAGCUCGUGUCGUGAGAUGUUGGGUUAAGUCCCGUAACGAGCGCAACCCCUGAUCUUAGUUGCCAGCAUUGAGUUGGGCACUCUAGGAUGACUGCCGGUGACAAACCGGAGGAAGGCGGGGAUGACGUCAAAUCAUCAUGCCCCUUAUGACCUGGGCUACACACGUGCUACAAUGGAUGGUACAAAGGGAAGCCAAACCGCGAGGUCGAGCUAAUCCCAUAAAGCCAUUCUCAGUUCGGAUUGUAGGCUGCAACUCGCCUGCAUGAAGCCGGAAUCGCUAGUAAUCGCGGAUCAGAAUGCCGCGGUGAAUACGUUCCCAGGCCUUGUACACACCGCCCGUCACACCA